rnacentral:rRNA from 1 species
AACAGGAUUAGAUACCCUGGUAGUCCACGCCCUAAACGAUGGAUACUAGGCGUAAGAGGUAUCGACCCCUCUUGUGCCGCAGCUAACGCACUAAGUAUCCCGCCUGGGGACUACGGCCGCAAGGUUGAAACUCAAAUGAAUUGACGGGGACCCGCACAAGCGGUGGAGCAUGUGGAUUAAUUCGAUACUAACCGAAGAACCUUACCCAGACUUGACGUCGAUCGUAAGCUCUAGAAAUAGGGCCCUCCCCCACAAAGGGACGUGAAGACACUUGUUGCAUGGCUGUCGUCAGCUCGUGCCGUGAGGUGUACGGUUAAGUCCGCCAACGAGCGCAACCCUCGUCCUGUGUUACCAGCGAGAAAGUCGGGAACUCACAGGAGACCGCCGGUGUAAGCCGGAGGAAGGUGGGGAUGGCGUCAAGUCAGCAUGGCAGUUACAUCUGGGGCUUCACACAUGCUACAAUGGGCGCACCAAAGGGCAGCAAUACCGCGAGGUGGAGCAAAUCCCAAAAAUACGCCCUCAGUUCAGAUUGUAGUCUGCAACUCGACUACAUGAAGGCGGAAUCGCUAGUAAACGCAGGUCAGCUAUACUGCGUUGAAUACGUUCCCGGGUCUUGUACACACCGCCCGUCAAGUCACCUGAAUUGUCUUCACCCGAAGUCCGUGGCCUAACCGCAAGGAAGGAGCGGCCGAAGGUGAGGGGGGUAAGGGGGACUAAGUCGUAACAAGGUAACC